rnacentral:lncRNA from 1 species
UUUUUUUUUUUCAGUUUACCAAACACAAAAAUGACCAUCAGUUUUUUUUCACAGUGGCUUUUUUUAAAAUCACCUCAAUCCCAAACGGGGCCUUAGUAAUCACAAAUACUUAUCGAAAACUAGACAACAACCUUCACUAAGUUUUUGUGCUGCACUUUCGACAUCAUUGCCACUUCCCUCGCAAACCGCUCUUCUCUCUUGGCAAUCUGCUCUGGGGUUUCUCCUCUAUGAACAUUUUUUACAGCAACUUUUUGACUCUUAUAUCUAGAACAAACAAACGCAACCACCAAACAGAUUAAGAACACAACAGAACAGAACAUCAUCGUUGUAACUCGACACGAAAAACACAUAUUCGGCAUCAUAAACACCAUAAUUGCAGAACACCAAAUCAAGUUUUGAUCUUUGAUUAGUUCUGCAAAAACCCAACUCAAAUUUGCAUUUAUAUUUAACAAGAUCUAAGGCAUCAUAUUAAAUUGCUAAACUUGAGAGACCAGAAAUUCAGAAUUUAAGACAAACAAAAGAUGUUUUGGAUCGAUCAGCCACUUGGCAUCCAAAUCGAAAUCCCCAACUGAAUAAACCCCAUUACCAGAUCCCAUAAUUUUCUCUCUCUAAAAUUCAACAAGAACAAAACAAGAACAACAUACACUGACUAAUUAACCAAAACAAAGGGUACCCUUUAUUUGUAGGACCACAUUUGAAGUAAAGAUGAAAGCUUUGGUCUGGAUAAAAAUGGAAAAAAUUAAUAAAAUCAGCAGACUUCGUAUGAUUGGAGAGGGAGAAAGAUGAAGACUUUCUAUAAUAAAAGGACUUGCUUGGUACUGUAGGUUUCAGAAAACAGACCCAUCCCCGGAAUCACGGUUGAGGAUCCUACAAAGAAUUUAGCACAAGAUUGUUUGCCCUCCCACUUCCGGUGCCCUCUCAUGUCCUUCUGUUUUGUGUGGUCACGAUUAAGCCAUAUCAAUAUUUUAUAUUGUUUUUUUUAUAGAGAUAAUAAGAUAAAAAUAAAUAGUAAUAUAAAAUAUUGAUGUAGCUUAACCGUGACCAUACAAACAGAAGGGUACAUGAGGGCACUAGAAGUGAGAGGGCAGACAAUCCUUGUCCAAAAAUAAAAUCCCAGAGGCACCCACCAACAACCCUACAAUAUAAAAAGGAGGUGGAUUUUCUGCUCUCUCAUUUCCAUACUCUUCCCAUUCCCUUCUGUUUGUGUUAUCACGGUUAGGCCACGUUAACAUUUUAUAUUCAUAUUAUUUUUUAUUUUAUUAUUUUUAUAAAAAAAAUAAUAUAAAAUGUUGAUGUGACUUAAUCGUGACCACACAUCACAGAGGAGAUGAGGAAAGUAUGAAAAUAUGAGGCAAGACAAUCCGCCUCCAUAUAAAAAUGGUCACUGAUGAGAGCUCUAUCAGUGGGAGUGGAUUAGAUUUAUUAUUGGGAAUUGGGGAGAGAGAGGAAUCAGUAGAAGAGCAAGCAGAUAGAGUUGAGCAAGGCAGAGGAGGAUGAAACUGAGAGGAGGUGGAGAUUUGGGAACUUGGUGGCGGCGAUGGUGGCGGUGGGCGGGUGGGAAGUGAGUUCAGUUGAGAUUAAUUUAUUGGCCUUCUCCGCGAGUGGAAUGUUAUUGUCUUGUCUUCUAGAUCCAAAGAUAAACUAGUCUCUGUCAGAGAAUAGUGUGUUUCCUUUGUUUUUCUUCCUUUCUACCUCAUUUUCCCUUAUUUAUACUAGCAAGAAUAAAAAUUUAUAAUAAGAGAAAAUGUAAAUUGAUUUCUAAAUUUUUUUUCUUUAUGAUAUUCAAAUGAUUUUGCCUUGCUGAAUGAGACUGUUCAUAUCUUUGACUACUAGUUCUGAAUAAAUAUUUCUUUAACUAAAAGUUUACAAGGCAACUGAAAUGAUUACUUAGUUAUAAGACUUUGGAAAAAAAAUUACAAGUAUUUUGUGUGCAAUUUACUAUAUUAUGCAUAACUUUUAAUAUAUUAAUUUAUUUAAGUUAAUUUGGUCUUUUAACUUUUAUUUGGUUGAUUAAAAGAGUUUUGUUGAUAGGUAGUUUAGAUUAUAAUAAAAUAAAAUAAUUACUAAAUAAAUAGUUUUUUUAAUAAUAUGAUAUUAUGUACAUUAAGUGGUGGAGGGAGUGAGUUAAGCUUCACAAUGAGAUAGUCAUAAUAAUUUGUUCAAAUUUAUCUUAAUGAUAAUCGAACUUAAGACUUCUUAUGUAUGAGAGAUUUUUCAAUUUACUAGAAACACAUUGUAAAAAUACAAUUGGUUGGAAACUUAAAAAAUACAAUUUCAAACUAUUUUAUUAUGACACUUGGUGUAUCAAGUCAUGUUUAGUGUUCACACCACACUGAAAAUUUUCUCCUCACUUACAAGUCAAAAGGAAUACUAUUAAAUCGUAAUAUAAGUGACUACUAAAUAACUAAUUUAUAUAUUUGAUUUUUAAAAGUUUAGGGGAAAGGAAAGCUAAUCCAUCAAGGCCAAGGCAUAUAACAAGUAUCCUCGAGAACUUACACAAGGGGUCUUAGUCCUUUUUUUGUUUUUACAGAUCUUGCACAAAAAAUGGUUGCUUACAAUGGAACUCAAACAUAGACCUUGCAACUCAACCAAUCCUCAGUGGAAAAUACACAUGUAUUUGAGCAAUCUUUUAAUUAAUUUAAACUAAAUUAUCGAGUCAAAACUCCAUGCAAUAAACAUAUUGUUUUAAUUAAAUUAUUCAUAUACAAUAAUAAAAUGUCUAUUUAUAUCAUAGAUUCUAAGAUUUGAUAAAGAGAAUAUUUCCAAGAUGUGCAUAGACAUAAAACACAUACACACUACUCUAACUAAAUUAAUCAAGAACAAUUCUGCAAGAAAAUGGAAGAUAUGUGACUUUUAUUUAUUUCCUAGAUUCUAAGAAGGAUAAGAAAAUGUUGUCGGAGAAAAAGAAAGGUAAACGGGCGAUAAGAAGACGAAUACAACACAAUGAUACAAUUGGGGCUUCGAGAAAGUGCCCUUUUGGUAUCCACUAAGGCCAAAAACCCAUCACAAUAAUUGAAUUACCAAUGUCUUAUUAGAAAGUAAAACACAUUAUUUUGGCGAUUUUGAAACUUGAAUGACAAAUAUGACAUAGACAAUAAGGAUGUGUGACUCAGAUACCAGGUUGGAGGAAAAUGGACUGAAGUACAAAGGUUAAGGCAAGGAGAUAUGUGAGAGGUAUUACAUGAGUUAAUUAUCAAAUUAUUAUGACAUAUUUUAUCGCGUUUUUUAUGAGAGAUUUUUUAGUGUGCUGAAAACACAGCUCGAUACAUCAAGUGUCAUCACAUAACUGAUUGGAUACUUGAAAAAAAUAAAAUUCAACUUGUAUGAUGACACUUGAUUUAUCGGGUUGUAUUCCGGCACACUAAAAAGUUGUCAUCUCCUAGUUCAGAUAUACUGCUCUUUAUUUUAAACACAUCUUUGUACUCAUUAAAAGACAAAAAGACAAGCAAAUAUUUUGGUCCCAGUAUGCAAGAACCAUACAAUAUACUUAGAAAUAUCAAGCAUCCCGUUGGAAAUCAACUGUAAGGCAAAUAUUAUCAACGAAACAAAAGAAGGAAUUGCACAAUUCAUUUGGUGAUUAGGCGAACUAACAACAAAAAAAAUAUAAAAAAUAACGAGUCAAUAAUUUAAACACUGAACUAAAUGAUCCUUACGAAGAUGUGGGUUGUUGAAGAGUUAGAUCAUCACUUUCCUUAACUACACCAAACAACAUACUCCAAAUGGCUUUUGCAAUCAUUGUUUUACCUAUACCGCCCAUACUUCAAAUUCCAAUUAUUUGAACAUCAGGUGAACCUCCAACAUCCAAGUAUUUAGUACUGAAUUCUUGCACGCAAAAAGUUGUUCCAACUGAGUGCUUGGUUUCUUUUAAGUCUGUAGUUUUCAGUAGUCUCCUAAUGUCUCCAACAAUUUUCUCGAUAAACAAUCAUUGAUGUCUCGCGGUUAAAAUUCAAAAUUAUACAAAAGUAAGAUUCAUCAUGCAACUGCAAGAUUUAUAUCAACUAAAGGCUUUUGAUUCAAAAUGGUCCCUGAGAUUUGCAUCAUCCAUAAGUUUGGUCCCUGAGAUUUAAAAUUAAUAGAAGUAGUCCCUGCGAUUGUCCACCAUCCAUGAUUUUAGUCCUUCCGCUAAAGUUUUUGGCCAGAAGUUGGGCAAUUUUCAAAGCUUCGUAACUCAAUCGUUUUUUAACCAAAUUCGACCCAUAAUAUAUCAAAAUGAAGAUAGGAAAGUGUAGAAUAAGAUUAUAUCUAUUUGGAAGCCCAAUCAAUGGAAAACUGGAAAACUUGCCGGAAACUCGCCGAAAACUGGGUAAAUUUUAAACAUUCAUAACUUCUUCAAUACUCAACGAAAUCAAGUGAUUCAAAAACAAAAACCAUACUUCUCAACAAGAAGAAGAGAAUGGUACCUUUUUAAAUGGCUAACUCGCCUUGGUUUGGCCGGAAAACGGCUCGAAAGUGGCUGUUGAAAAACGAGUUAGCAACUUUCGAGCCGUUUUCCGGCCAAACCAAGGCUUUUUAGCCGUUAAAAAAGGUACCAUUCUCUUCUUCUCGUCGAGAAGUAUGAUUUUUGUUUUUGAAUCACUUAAUUUUAUUGAAGACGUUAUGAACGUUUAAAGUUUAUCCAGUUUCCGGCGAGUUUUCCAGUUUUUCCUCGGACCAGUCAAUUUUGAGGCUAUUUUCCGACCAUCGUCGGCAACCAUUGGGCUUCCAAAUAGAUAUAAUCUUAUUCUAUACUUUCCUAUUUUCAUUUUGAUAUAUUACGGGUCGAAUUUGGUUAAGAAACGAUUGAGUUACGAAGCUUUGAAAAUUGCCCAAACUUCCGGCCAAAAGCUUCAACGGAAGGACCAAAAUCAUGGAUGGUGGACAAUCUUAGGGACAACUUCUAUUGAUUUUAAACCUCAGGGACCAAACUUAUGGAUGAUGCAAAUCUUAGGGACCAUUUUGAAUAAAAAACCUCAACUAAAUGCCUCAUUCAUCAUGAUUAGAUAUUUUGGUAGCGAAAACGUUUUGAAUAAGUUAGAUUUGAUCGAGAUGACUAGUUAAGUUCAAUUUAGCCGUGUUUCUGAAAUGCAUUGUAACCGUAUUAGUUAAGCUCAGUUAGAUUGCUCAUGAACUAUAAGAAGGCGUUUGUUUGCCCUCACUAAACCGUAUUAUAGCUUUUAGUCAUACAAUUAGAAAUCCAUUAGAAUUAGUAUAUGGGUUUGACAUACGGAGGAUUCGUCCUUCACGCAUUACCAAAAGCUCCAAAGUUUUUUCCUAUAAACGUAUAAAAUCAAAGUCUGAUCAUAAUCUCCUUAUUUUUGGUGAAUUAGUGAGUCUUAGAAGCUAAUACAAGACAUUGGAAUUAAAUUUAGAGGAAAAAUUAAAAUACCUGUCCGCUGUGGUUUUAAGAUUCCGGCCACACAAAUCUGCAGAAGCCUUAAGAUCCUUCUCCACUGCUCGACCUCAUCUGGAUCUUCAUCCCUUUCAUGCUAACAAAGUUAAAAGAAUAAGGUAAAGUGAGACACCUAAUAAAAGUUUAGGUGGUAAAGUGAACAAAUGAGCAUAUAGAGUGAAGUAAAAUUUUGUCUACAUAAGUGUCAUAGAAAUGCCUUUAAUAUUUUUUACAUAUAGAAAAUAAAUAGGGUUAAUUACAUCGAUGUUCCCUGAAUUUGUCAUUUAUCUUCAUUUUCAUUCUUAAACAUUUUAUUUGUUUUAUAUGAUCUUCAAGCUCGCUAUUGCAUGACUUUUUUUUUUAUAUCCUUUUCGUCAACUUCAUCUAUUUUUCUAUUAAGUAGAGAUGAUAAAUUUAAAAUUCAUCCCACAACCUAAAAAAUGGGAAAAAGGAGGUGGAUGUACAAAAUUCUUGCUAUGCCCUCUAUAUUUAACAGAAAAAUAAAAAUAAAUUGGUCAAAAAUAGAUUUUGUUAGAUUAGUCACUAACGGGGUUCAAACUCACACCGUCAUGCAAGAUCUUAACUCAUUUCCACCACUAUAGUAAAGGGCCACUUGCAACCAAAAAAUAAAUUGAAUUAAUGGAUAUAAUUGAAUCACCACAUGAGAGAGUUUGAGAACCACAAUAAGAAAAAAAAAAAAGAAAAACUAUUCUAGAACGAAAGUAAAAUUCUUGACAACAAUGUUGUAUAUUUGAAAAAUAGUUCAAGCAGAUUAAGAUGUUAGCACAGAGUCAUUUAUCUCGUUUAUUGAACAAACAACGAGGACAUCAAUGCCGUUUUUUCUCUUUUGAAAUUCCUAAACAACAAAAUUGAGAUUUCUUUCACAAAAAUUACCAUAAAUUUUGACAAAAUUGACGGUCGAAUUAUAAAUCCAGCAGGCAAAUCGAAAACAAUCACAGGAGCUUAGAACACACCACAUCAACAUUUAGCAAGCAGUCUCAUAGGAAAUCCCAAUCAAGAUAAAACUAUUCAACAAUUUAUUACAUUUCGUUCAUAUAAGAGCAUGGUUAGGAGGAUUAUUUAAUUGACGUUAUAACAUCUUUCUACAAAGAAAAAAAUGAAAAAGAAAAUAGGGCCUCGGCACCCGUGGCAAAACCCAACAUGGAUUAGAGUACGUUUCAGCCUGACCUUCUGUAAAAGCUAUAGGCCACAGCCACUGUUGCCACUGCUCCAACCACGGCAGCAGCUGCGAGAACAUCGCUUUGCUCCCAGUUCCCAAUCAAGCUUGACAGCUUCCGUAAGGCAUCCUUUGUGGCACACGACUCUGUGGUUUCUUUCGACUUCAUUUCCUCACUUCCACCGUUCUCCUCCAAACUUACUUCUUUGCAGCAUGUAAAUCCAUCACUAUUAGCACCCUGGCAACAGCUUGAAAAGUUCUCAUUAUUCUCAAUAUGAUUGCCCUUUUCUUGGUGAAUCUGAUUGCUAUUUUCAUGUGGCUUCUCCUUGAUUUUCUUAUUUUCUUCUCCAUUUGGAAGUUCCCGGUCAUUAAUUUGUUCAGCUUCAUCAGAAAAUGCUCCCAUUUGGCCUCUGUAAGGAAUGAAAUUGAAUUUCGUGUUCAGCUAUUUAAAGAUUCAACUCUUAAGUUUCUUCAAUGCAGUUACAUCCAAUUUAGAAACAUAUACAGAGUAAUACUGUUGUAUCCAAUUCUUUUGUGCUUUCUCCACAGAAGUUCCUCGAUGUUAUUGUAACUCUAUAUCAAUAAAUCUAUCAUACAAGACUAGACAUAACCAUCAAUUGAAAAAUAUGACAACACAAGCUUCCGUCCAGUGAAAUUUUCAUCCAAAGACAAUAGGCAAAACCGAAAAUCUACAAACCUCCAAAGUCGUUCUAUAAUCUCUCCCUUCCCAAUAUGCUCAUCAAGCAAUUCCGGCACAUCAUCAGGAGUGACGUAGCCAUACCUGCAAUUAAUAAUACAUAAUAUUCAAAUUUCAUCGAUCCCAAUACGACAAAAUUUUAGAUUGUUAUGAUCCGAAUAUUACCAAUGGCCUGUUAUGCUUCCAUCUGAACCUGGGCUGUAGAUAAUCAAGUUUCCAUUGUGGCCUCCAGUGUGAAAGCAAGCAGCAACAAAUAUCUGAUUCGUCAAUCCUCGUAGCUCAGCCUCCUCUUUGAACUUAUUAAUGAGAACACAUGCACUAUCACGAUUCCAUUCCUCUCGACUACCAUGUGCACAUACAAAUACAUAGGAGCCAGUCAACGACUCUUGCACUCCGGAAGCCCAUGGUUUGUGAUUCACAAGGACAUCAUCAACAAAGCUGCCCACAUCCGACUCUUUCAAGCCCCUUUGACAACAAACAAAAACAACCUCAUAAUCACAAAAAGGGAUUUACAGGCAAGGAAUUAGUCGUAAACUGAGCCAUUAAAUUCAAAGGAAAACUAAUGAAAAGAGCUUGAAAACUUUGAGUUUUAACGAUAAGGACAAAAUAAAGGGUAAAGUGAAUAGUACCAGGAUUGACUUUUUAGUGCAAAAAUGUGGUUUUUCGUUAAAGUGAAAAGUACCAAGAGCUUUUCGUUAAGGUUCCCUAAAUUCAAUUUCUACAACUAAUUUCAGAAGCUAACACACAUCUAAUCAUCUAUUUAGGUCAGUGGAUUCAUGUUGGUUAUGGAAUGGGCCCUCCAUUAUGAAUUAAUUACGGUUUGCCAUUGUGUGUGUUAGUGUGGGCCGUGCUUAACAGCUGGGUUGGGCUGCUGCAUUUGGGCCCAGGGUGCAGCUCUCACGGGUUUUGGGCUGGGUUUCACCGAAAUAUCAAAUGACUCUUUUGCCCCCUUCAGUCCUAAUCCGACGGCCACCAUUUGCGGCGUUUGUGGUCUGCAAUUCGGUGGGGGGGGGAGGUGGGGUUAGCUUGCUUUCAAUCUCGUCAAGGAGUUCGUGCAGAGAGGCAGGGGAUGACAUCAAGUUUAGGGUGUGCACAGUGAGAGAGAAGAGGGUAGGAGCUAGAGAGAGGGGGGUGGGUUCUGUCCGCGGACGUAGGUUGCAGAGAGACAGAGAUGGGGAAAAGUAUGGGGGUGGGGUUGAGGGGAACGUGUACACAGAGAGAGUGAGGAAGGGACAUAGGAGCUAGAGGUAUGGGAAAGGAGUCGAGGAGUUGAGGAGUCGAGGGGUUGAGGGGUUGAGGGGUUGAUUUGUCAGGGGCUGCUGCAUCCUUCCUAUUCAAAAGGUAACAAAUAAUUUUCAAUUCAUUCUUUACCCUUGAAUGUGGAUUUACUGUUCGGGGUUGAGGAGGACAUCAUAUAUCUUCCCUUUUUCUGAAUUUUAGUUCUGUCUUCUUCGACUCUUAUAUCUUCCCUUUUUCUGAAUUUUCUUUAUUUCUCAUCCUUUAAACUUUGUAUUUUUUUUAAAUAUUUAUUUUUUUGGUGAUGCAGAUAGAUGAACAUGUUCAAAGGGGAAUCAUGAACCACAGAUCACUGCAUCCGAAUAUAGUUUGAUUCAAAGAGGUCAGUGAUCAUAAACUAUUUUCAUUUUGUAUUUUAAGAAUGAAUUUGGCAAGUUUUGUUUGAAUUUUGUAUAAGUAUCUGCUGAGGGUGGGUGGAUGAAGACAGAACAAACUAAAUUUGGCCUCUGGUGUGCUUAAACUGGUACGGGGGAGGGUUAGAACUUUGAGCCCAUGAUGCAGUAGGACUAGAGAAAUGCGGCAAUCCACCACUUGCAGAAUUAUUGUCAAAAUAACUCUGCUAAAAAUAUGAGCUAUGCUUCCUGCACUUUGUUUUUACUGUGAAGUGGAAAUAGUCUUUAGCGUGGCUUAUUUGUGAUAAUUGAUAAAGAGGUUAGUGUUUAAGACUUGAGAGUAGUGCGGUGUCUUUCUCGCUGGUUCUGAUGAUGGAGUACACGGCUGGGUGAGAACUCUUCGAGGGAAUAUGAGGAUGAGAUAAAGUAGUUUCAAAUACAGGGAAAAUUUCAUUGGAAAUGAUUUUAGUUUAGUUUCAGCUAGGGAAAGUUAGGUCUGAAGCAUUUUUACAUAAACAGUCGGUCAUAAUAUAACUAAAACUUACAUACUUUUUCGAUUUAAUUGUUGUUUUGCAUCAGGCAAAGUUUUUCUUCCAGCAGUUGAUAUCAGGAGUUAGUUGCUGUCAUUUGAUGGUAUGUAAUGUGGCACUUUUCUGCUAAUGCGUUGUAUACUGUUAUUUAUUUCUCUUUUGAUAUUGGAAGUGUUGGUUGUAGUAAGGAAAUAAUUCGUUUCAAUAGUAUACGACUUCGGUUUAAUAGUAUAUGACUCAGUUUUUGAAUAGCACUCAGGUGGUAUUACGACUUAGUUUUCUAAAUGCCAAUAACAGCUCUAGAUUUUGUCUCAAGUCAAGUAUUCUUACUAAUGUAGCAUUUUGUUGGCACAUCAGUAUGUUUUGAUUGUUUCUCUGCUUGAAUAGAGAAUUGUUAACGUCCGGGUGGGAACGUGGGUCAGCUCAUGUUUUAGUCUCUCCGUCGUAAGCAAUUUUACAUGGUACUCUUCAAUGUAGCUAUAGGUAAGACAACACUCUCAGUAUUCCAUAAUCAAACCACCAUUUGAACUUUUUUUCAUCCACCAAGUUAAGCUUUUAUGUGCCAUCUUGAAUAGUUAUAAGUUAUUGCUUCAGAUUACUCCAGUGCGACAUUGUUGUUCUCUUCCUUACCUCUCAAGCUUGCUUAAUAUACCAAUUCUUAUUACUGUUGUAUUGUUAAGAAAUACUCAAUUGCGGAUUCAGUUCAUCGUUUUGAAUCGGAUAAAAAUUAACCACUCAGUGGUUAAUUAUCUAAAUGGGCGGUAGGUCUCGGGUUCGAGACUUGUGAGCAGUCUCUCCAUAAAUGGGGGUAAGGCUAGCCGACAUUCACCUCUCCCAGACCCUGCGUAAAGCGGGAGCCUUGUGCACUGGGUACGACCUUUUUAGUGGUUAAUUAUCUAAAUCCUAUAAAUUCGGAUAAAAAUUAAAGCAACUACAGAACAAAAACCUCAAGAAAUCAACGCAAAUUUACCUGUAUUUGAUCAUUUUUGGGCAAAUCAACACAUCGCCGUCGCAAAACUCAGUUCCUUCGCAUCCUUCAAUUACUGUCAACGUCGUCUAUCAAAUACCAAGAAAAAAUGUGAGUAAUGGAGUCAACUCAGCUCAACACCAGAACUCAGUAGCUCCAGGAAAUAAGAAUGGUAAGAAAAAGCAAUCAGAAACGUCGACGAAUUGAGCUGGAAAAUGGACCUUAAUGGUGAAGUCGUUCUCGCGAGCUUUGAGAGCGGAUGCGAAGAACUUAGGGAGUGGAUCGGACUCAGGGCCUUCGAUGCGCCACGGCCAGGCCUCCAGGGUCUUGUAGCAAAGGAAAACGUGGUGAUAGCUCAACAGUGUAUCGUCGUCAGUGUCUUCAUCAGACUCAUAUGACUUGGUCUUAUAGUUGUCCCAAAUAGUAAGAGCAUCAGACAAAUCCCAUUUUACAAUAUCCACUCCUGUUUUGUUCAGCUUAAUUAUAUUAUCUCCUCCAUAAAAUCUUGCUUUUACAAGAACUAUGUCGCCACCUUUCAAAUUGAGCUUCUUGUUUGAAAGAUUUCCCAACCAAAGAUAAUAUUCAUGGGAAGCAGUUAUGGCGGCCUUAAUUGUCCAGAUGCUAAAAUGAGUUCGUUGGGUACGAUUAACAACAUCAAUGCAUAGAUCCCCAGUAGAGUUGGAGUUGUCUGAAGAAUAAAUGAUGCCCAAAGCCAACCCUCCUAUAUAAUCAAUACUUGGCGGCACUUCAAAUUUGACAGUUUUAUCCUCUCCCGCGACAUAGGCUAACCAGUUAGGAAUAUCAUUUCCAGAGAGAAAAAUUCCACCAAAUGCAUUUUUCUACAACAUGGGGUGCAAAGUCAGUAUAAGCAACAAUACAAAAAGCAGAGAGAGAGAGAGAGAGUACCAUACCGUUCGGAGGUUCUCCUUAAAAGUAUCAGUGAGACUGGUACACCCUUCCAUUUUAAUGUAAAUUAUCGAACCCAUGUAGUCCAACGAGUUCUUAAAUUUUGGAAUAUCUUGAGUUUGCGGCAGUCUUUCAGUAACAAUAUCCUCAUUUUCGACAUCUCUGAAAUGUCGGACAUUAUUUCCAGUGCAGUGCAGUAAUUCGCUUGCAGUAAAAGCAAACUGUUCGGCAAAUCUGGGAUUUCCUGAAGGUUUGUGCAAUGAUCGAGAAUUAAUACCAGAAGCUGAGAAAGGCCACUGAGAAUGGGUAGCCUAUUAAAACCAUUCCCACCUAGACCUAAAAAUGUUAAAGAAGAUAGACUCCCAAUUAUUUCGAGAACGGCACCAUCUGUUAUAUUGCAGUCACUGAGAUCUAAUACGUCAAUCAUCUUCAGUUGUGCUAAAAAAUGGUAACCCCCACACAAACCCUUACAGCCACUGAGCUCCAAUUUAUUGAGAUGUGGGAGUUUUGAAAAGUCUGGUAAUUCAGUCAGGUGAUGACAGUCGUUAAGAAGGAGAUACUUCAACUUCUUAGGCAACUGUUACUCAAAAAGAGAAAACAAUAAUAAAAAUUCAAAUAAAUAAAAGAGAGAAUGCAUGAUGAUGACUGAUGUUGAUAUUUACAAGGACAUUGAUAAUUAUAUCGUACCAGGUCCGAAUCCUCCCAAACUCGUACGAUCUUGCUGUUGCUCAGGUUUAAAUAAACUAGGUUUCGUUGAUCAAAAUCUGCUGGUAUGGCUUCAAGAGGAAAUCCAAUCCAAUCCAACGCUCUUAACUCCUUGGAAAGAUGUUUGUAGCUUCCAGUCAGCUUUACAUUAGCCAGGUCGAGAAAUUUCAGACGCCACAUCUUCUUAAACGCUUUCGUACUGAAGCUUUGCUCGUCAUCAGAAUGUUCUGGCAAAAAUAAGUGUAGUCCUUCAACUGCUUCUGUUCCCUGUUAGAGAUCCAAAAUAAAAAAGGAUAAUAUUCACACGAAGCAUAGCUGUGAAUUGGAUGAAUGAACUACUAGAAAGGUAGGGCAUACAACAUAAUUAUGUAUUCUCUCUUUCAAUUUACAAUGGAUGAAAGCCUUUUUUCUUAAAAUACACUAUGUACAACAUACAUUAUAUAUAUGCGGAUAUGCGUAUAUACUUCUCUUUAUUUACAUGUACUUAACAUAACAUCUUUUCAUUGCAAAAGUACUUACAGAUUCGUUCCUUAGCACGCUUUUUGCAUCUUCACUAUGCCACAAAUGACUACGUUUUCCCAAUUUCACAGGAGAUUCUGCCCGCACAAUUUCUCUUCCCAUAUCUCGAAUCAAAUCAUGCAUCCUCAAUCUUUUCCUUUCAUCAAUAUAUAGGAGACAUCGAUCGCAGAGUGUGGUAAUUUCUGCUUCUACAGAAAAACGACUACAACCAUCCAAUACUGGAGUGGCCACACUUAUAUGCACUCCAAUAAAGAAAUUAGAUAUGUCUAGGAACACACCCUUCUCAUGAUCAUCACGUAGUCCAUCGUAGCUUAAUUUAAGCGUUUCAUGAAUUUUUCCGUCUGGAAUAUUUCUCAAUUUAUCCAAUGUACUUUCCCAUAUGGUUUUACUCUUUUUCUUAGCCAACAAACGACCAACAACUUUCAGAGCUAGGGGCAAUCCUCCACAAUAAUCAACAAUAUCUCUUGCCAAUUCAAUAUAUUCUUUAUCGGGAUAAUCAUUUCCAAAGGCAUGCCAACUAAGGAGCUCAAAAGCUUCUUUCUCUGUCAUUGCUUGUGCCUUAUAUUUUUUAUCCACCUUUUGUAUAUUCAGCACAUGUUCAUCUCUUGUUGUUAUAAUAAUUCUACUCCCUGGACCAAACGAUUCAUGUUCUAUUGCCAAUUCAUCUAAUUGGUCUGCAUCAUCUAUGUCAUCAACCACGACAAGUACCUUCAUGCUUCCAAGUCUUUUCUUGAUCUCUUUGGUCCCUUCGGCAACACUGCUUACCUUAAUGUCAGGCUGUUUUAAAAUAUCUCGAAGAAGUUGUUCUUGCAAACUAACCAUCGCUUUCUUUUUACUCCUCACAUCUUCAAGGUAACAUUGACGACUAAAACUAUGCUGAUAAUUGCUACAAACGGCUCUGGCAAGCAUUGUUUUACCUAUACCGCCCAUACCACAAAUUCCAAUUAUUCGAACAUCAGGUGAACCUCCAACGUCUAAGUAUUUAGUACAAAAUUCUUGCAAGCGAAAAGCCAUUCCAACUAAGUGCUUGGCUUCUUUAAAGUCUGUGGUUUUCAGUAGUCCUUUGACGUCCCCAACAAUUUUCUCGAUAAACACCCCUUCACACCUACGAGUAGAAAUUCCAAAUUACGAGAGCCAUACUAAAUGCCUUAUUCAUAAUGACUAGAUAUUUACAUAUUGAAACAUAUUUGAAUAAACUGGAUUAAUUGAGCUCAAUUCAACCACGUAUCCAAUCUUUGAUUAUAAUGUGAAUACAUUAGAUCAUUGGUGAUUUGACUAUUAUGCAAUUGUAGCUUUCAGUAAUAUAAUUAAGAAUCCAUUACAAUUGGUAUUUUAAAUUGAUAAAGUGUGGAGCAUUUGUCCUUCACACACCCAUAAAAAACAAAGCACGUACCCUGCGCUUCACUUCCUUAAUUUCCACGGAAAUUAUUAUGCAAAUGCUCUACCUUUUAUAAAAUUCAUAUACCAAUUGUAAUAAAUUUUUAUGUAGGGACCAAAAUUACAGUUCUAUUAUAGUUCAGAGAUCAACGAUCCAAUUUUUCUUAUGACAUAUAAAAUCAGAUUCAAUGCCUUAAUUAUAAUAUCUUAAUUUUGGUUGAUUAGUGAAAUAUGGUGAUAUGAAAUUUGAAGUAAACAAAAAAGUAUACCCGUCGGCCGUGGUUUUGAGGUUCCAGCCGGCCAAAUCUGCAGAAGCCUUAAGAUCCUCUCUCCACUGCUUGACCUCAUUUGGAUCUUCAUCCUUUUCAUGCUUCUGAAAUGCUUCCCCAAAACUAUCUUUCUGUUUCCUGACUUGAGAAGGGUCAACGUCGUAGAAUAUUGGACACACUAUCUUCCCCUCUUGAUCUUUUAGGCACCUCAUGAUCUUCGACAGCUCCCUCAGGCACCACCGGGACUCCGCGUACCUCUUCGAGAAGACGAUGACAGCGAUCCUCGACCCUUCGAUUUCUUGGUCAAGUUCACUCUGUAUGUCUUCCCCCCUUCUGAGCUGUUUGUCUAUAAACGUGUUAAUUCCGGCAUUGCGUAACGCAAUGAAGAGGUGGUCUGUGAAGGUGUUGCGGGUAUCUUCGCCUCUAAAGCUCAGGAACACCUCGUACUUCCAGCGGUUUGAGCUCUGCGAGGAAGACGAAGAGGCGGCAGAGCCAGCUCCUUGGGCGGAGCUGCUGGUAUCCAUUGCAGACCGUAGAAGUGCAGCUUGGCUUUCAAAUAACCAAAGUCAAGUCUUUACCCAGUGUCGGUGGCCGUUUUAGAUAUUUUGCAUGGGCCAAUAAUGUCACUGCUGUGUCGAUAACGCGCUCCCACAGUUUAAUUUGUAUAAAUGCUUUACGAUGCAAUUUCCUUUCUUUUGUAGUCUUUUGAGAAUCUGCCGCCCAACUUUGACCGGUUGACGAUCUUAUUGUAUUAUAAGAUGUGCAUUUUGAUUAUCAUCAUUUAAUGUGAUGUAUGUUCAUCAAAUUAUUUAUUAUUAUUAGAUGAGUUUAAAUUUUAAGAUUUGUACUUAUGCACUACCCACCCGAAUCUCGAAAUUCAAACACAUUUAACGAUGAUAAAUAGAAUGAUAAACAUAUAUCAUACUAAAUAAUGGUGAGCAAAAAUGCUCCCGUAUUUUAAGGGUGGUGCGCAGCACGUUCCAACUGUUGGAGUCAGUAGUAUCAACGGGAAGAGACCUCAUCUCCAACAACCCAUCUUAACAAAAAAUGCAGAAAAUUAAACUCCAACAGGCUAACUAAAUGACUCUUUAUUUUGUGAACGGUAACUAACUAAAUUUAACCAGGAGACAUUCGUAGCUUACGUCAAAAGGAUCAAUGUUGUAAUAUAAGUAAUUUACUUGCUCAAAAUAAGGAUCAAUUUAGCUACGAAAGCAGGGAGAUGAUCGAGCUCACGAUAGCAGAUUUUUUUAUCCUAUCGUCUUGCAAGGGAAACAAGCUACCAAUUGCUUGCAUCAUCUGAAGCCAUCCAACUAAUGGUUGAAUUUCUCAGUCAAGACUAUGCUCAAGGCAUCAGUGUGCAGGCCAGACUCGACAGCAUAGCCACACUACACAACCUCUCGCGCUGCCAUCAGAUUAUUCCGUCUCUGGUCUCUUCGGGCGUAGUGUUUUCAAUGCUAAAACUGCGGCAUGGAAGCUGUUUCUUUUUGAGACUGUUCCAAUUAUGGUUCGAGAAACAAGCAGUCAAGGAAUAAGUUGAUGGGGUGAGUACAACGGCAUUGAGACUGUUCCAAUUAUGCAGGAAGUUGAUGCAGAAGGAGAAAAAGUUGACGGGGUAAGUACAACGGCAUUGAGACUGGUAGAGGAGAAGCUUGCAAAGAUCAGCAGUGGACGAUAAUCUCGACCAAACUCUGAGCUUUGCCAAGCAGAUUAAGAUGUUGGAACAGCCGUUCAUCUUGUUUAUUGAACAAACGAGGAGGACAACAAUGCAGAAUCAACGCUUGAAUUCAAAGUCCCAACAGGCAAAUCGAAAAUAAUCACAAGAGCUUAGAAAAUACCACACCAACAUUUGGCAAGCAGUCUCACAACAAAUCCCACUAUCAAGAUAAAACCAUUCAACGGUGUGUUGGAACAACAGAUUUCAGUUGUGUAAGCAAUCAACAUAAAGGAACAGUGAAUACUUUUGUAACUAUAUAUGGAUUAGCUUCGGGAAUUCAUCAAACCCUCCGAAAAAGAACGUAUAGUGUAGCUACCAUAUUCUCCUUUCAUAUAAGAGCUUAUUUAAUUGACGUUAUAACACCUUUCUACAAAGAAAAAAAAGAAGAAAAUAGGGCCUCUACACCCAUGGCAAAACCCGACAUGGAUUAGAGUACGUUUCAGCCUGACCUUCUGUAAAAGCUAUAGGCCACAGCCACUGUUGCCACAGCUCCAACCACGGCAGCAGCUGCGAGAACAUCGCUUUGCUCCCAGUUCCCGAUCAAGCUUGACAGCUUCCCUAAGGCAUCCUUCCUGGCACACGACUCUCUGGUUUCUUUCACCUUCUUUUCCUCACUUCCAUUGUUCUGCUCUAAACUUACUUCUUUGCAGCAUGUAAAUCCAUUACUAUUAGCACCCUGGCAACAGCCUGAAAAGUUCUCAUUAUUCUGAAUCUGAUUGCCGUUUUCUUAGGGCUUCUCCUCCAUUUUCUUACUUUCUCCUCCAUUUGGAAGCUUCUGGUCAUUAAUUUUUUCAGCUUCAUCCGAAGAUGCUCCCAUUUGGCCCCUGUAAGGAAUGAAAUUGAAUUUCGAGUUCAGCCAUUUAAAGAUUCAACUCUAUGUUUCAUCAAUAGCAAUCGAGUAAGGACAUGUAUGAUCAAGCUUAAUAAACAAUUUGACAACAGUACCUACUUGACCCCGUCCCCCCUUCCCCAAAACCACCUUUGGUUUGGUUCUAUAAAAAAAAAAAAAUUGUUUGAUUUGGUUCACACGAGUUGUUUGAUUUGGUUCCUCAAUGUUAAUGUAACUCCAUAUCAAUAAUCUAUCUUCCAACACUAUAAGUAAUCAGCAAUAGGAAAAUAUGACAACAGAAGCUUCAGUUCCAGUGAACUUUUCAUCAGCAGACGGUUGGCAAAACCGAAAACACACAAUCCUCCAAAGUCGUUCUAUGAUCUCUCCCUUCCCAAUAUGCUGAUCAAGCAAUUCCGGCACAUCCUUAGGAGUGACGUAGCCAUACCUGCAAUUAUUAAUACCAUAAUAUUCAAAUUCCUUCAUCUAUCCCAAUACAAUAAAUUUUACAUUGUUAUGAUCCGGAUAUUACCAAUGGCCUGUUAUGCUUCCAUCUGAACCUGGGCUGUAGACAAUCAAGUUUCCAGCACACUUGUGGUCUCCAAUGUGAGAGCAAGCAGUAACAAAUACCUGAUUUGUCAAUCCUCGCAGCUCAGCCUCCUCUUUGAACUUAUCAAUGAGAAUAGGUCCACAAACUCCACAUUUUUAUCUCGACUUCCAUGUAGACCUGUAAACGGGUUAGGUUUAUUGGGUUUGGGUCGGGUUGAACCCGACCCGUUAAGUUAACGGGUCACCCGAACCCGACCCGUUAAGCUAACGGGUCACCCGAACCCGACCCGUUAAGCUAACGGGUCACCCGUUUCACCCGUUAACACCCGUUAACAAUUAUUAUUAUUUUUUUUUUGCAUAAAGUUUAUUUUUUGUUAUUAAAACUUUACUAAAAUUACUAAAAUAUCCUCAACUAACGGGUGCUAACGGGUGUUAACGGGUCUAACGGGUUGACCCAAAGUGACCCGUUAUUUAACGGGUGUUAACGGGUUCACCCGUUAGCGACCCGACCCGUUAAGCAUCCACCCAAAUACAAAUAUUAACGGGUUGGGUCGGGUUAACGGGUUGGGUCCAAAAUGCCAGGCCUACUUCCAUGUGCACAUACAAAUACAUGGGAGCCAGUCAACGCCUCUUGCACUACGGAAGCCCAUGGUUUGUCGUUCACAAGGACAUCAAUUGGUUAGAAACCAAGCCAUGUUACCGGCACACAGCCUCAGAGUAAACAAGGAAAAUUUCAAGGUAUCAACACUAAAACUAGUCCAAAACACACUAAAUUAGCUCAAUUCGAGACUUCGUAAAUUGAAAUGGGAAAAUCAUAAACUCUAUCUCUAGUUAGCAAUCAUCGAAAUCUCCUAGUCAAAUAAAGCAAAUCUGAAGAAUCAAAACACCACUCACUGGUUAAUUAUCUAAAUCCUAUAAAUUUCGGUUAAAAUUAAGCAACUACAGAACAAAAACAUCUUUACCUGUAUUUGAUCAUUUGUGGGAAAAUCAACACUUCGCCGUCGGAAAACUCAGUUCCUUCGCGUCCUUUAAUUACUGUCGGGUCUAUCAAAAACCAAGAAAAAAGUGAGUAAUGGAGUCAACUCAGCUCAACACCAGAACUCAGUAGCUCCAGUAAAUAAGAAACGGCAAGAAAAGCGAAACGCCGACGAGUUGAACUGCAAAACGGACCUUAACGGCGAUGUCGUUCUUGCGAGCUUUGAGAGCGGAGGCGAAGAACUUAGGGAGCAGAACGGACUCAGAGCCUUCGACGCACGACGGCCAGGCCUCGGGGGUCUUGUAGCAGAGUAAGACGUGGCGGUCGUACGCGUUGACAGUGCCAGCAAGUUUUUCCUUGCACAUCUCCAAUCUCUUGAAACCGAACCUCUCGUCUUCGGUGGCUGGAACGGCGACGUCGAGGUCAUCGGAGACCAUUGCUAGGGCUCGGAGAGGAGGGAGGGGUUUACCAGGGGUUGAAGUUGAAAACGAUGAGAGGGAAAAGAUGAGAGAGAAAGAGCGUUGUUGUUUGGUUGUUGUGUUGAUAUAACGAGGAGGCUGAGAAGGGAACCGCGGUGUCGGUGUGGGUGUAGGUGCGUGCGCAACACAUACGGCGCACGAUGGGGUUUCUGAAGAUCGGAGUCGGGACGCGUGGGAUUGGGCACGUGGGGUUUGAUUUGUAGUUCAUGUAUAUACCUCUUUUUUGAGAAUAAAGAUUUUUUUUGGAUCCUCUUUGUAGGGAUUUUAUAGUUUGUGUAUCGUAUUCAUUCAUUGUAAAUCAGACGGUUAGAAAUUACUUUAAAUCUAUAAAUUUAAAAUUAAACACAAAUAAUAUUUAAAGAAAAUUGACUGCAUAAUUAAUACGAUAAACGAACACAAUUAAAAAAUUCUCAGAAUCCUCGUAAAAAGAAUCCGAACUCUUUUGAUGUCUCCGAUCAUAUCGGACGGAAGCUAAAAGAUAAUUCGUGCACGCAAAAAUGGAAGGUCCUACAAACGGAGGAGGACCACUCUCUAUUCCCGGGAAGUGGGGUACAAGCGCGUAUGUAUAUAUCACCCAAUGGGGCACCAAUAUGUUGUACUAGCAGGGAACUGAAUGAGGUGAAAUUGGAAAAUCCCUUAAACUUGGUGAUGUGGCGACCUGUGAUUCGGCCUUCACAUUCUGUCAAGAAACAGGCCGGUCACUUUGUUGAUUAAGUCAAGCAGUCAGCCUUAGCCCGACGUGGACAAGUUCUGGAAGUCUUGUUUCGCUCAUUUAUUUAUUUCUUGUCAAUGACGUGUAAUAUUUGAUUUCAUUUGUUUUUUUGGUGGACUAAUAUUAAAUAUACUUUUGUCAAUGAAUUAAUGAUACAAUUUAGAACGGUGAUAUUCACACAUUUUGCACAUAUUCUUCAAUUUGAUAGUUGAAAAUUGAGAAGAAUGUGUGUGAAAUGUAAAAAGAACGUGUAAAUAGCAUAUCCCUACAAUUUAAUAUAAAGGAAUGUAGAUUUCAAACAACGAUUGUUUUUUAAGGUAACGCUUUUGUUCUUGAUUUUUCAUGUUUGAGCUUGAAAUGAACCGCUUUCAUAAUCUAUUGUAUUACUUUGUGUUCAGUUGAAUAAAGUAUCUUUUUCCAACGAAAAAUAAACGGAAUGGCAUUUAAAUAAGGAGUGUAGAGAGUGUAUGCGUAAGGAAAGAGGCAUGCAAAAUUCAUUUCAGCUCAUACAUCUUUGUGUUGCUUAUGUUGGUCUUUCAAUUAAUUAUGUUGAGAGUGAGGAAAUAAAUUGUACUUAGCAGUGUCAAAUUACAACCCUAAUCGAAAAACGUCUUGUUCGCCGGACCUACUCGACUGCUCCGAACAAUGUAAGGCCGAAAGGCGGACGAUACAUAAUCGGGUUUUUUCGAAGUAGGCAUUCAUAAACAUCAAGGAAGCAUACUUGGUAGAAAAUGAAAGAUCCUCAACUUCAUUCCUCAAAUUUUCAAUGCAAUUGAAUUUCCUCAAAUCUAAGGAACUACCAGAUUGUAAUGCUUGCAAUGGAAGGGAACCAUUGUGUACAUGUAGCAUCCACAUGAAUCAGUUGGAGGCUUGUUGGAGUUUUUAACGGAAUGACCAAAAUGAUGGAUGGUAGACAAUCUCAAGGACCACUUUUGAUUAUUUACCCUUCUAUUGAAUUUGCAAAGGGGAAGAAGUUUUAAAUCCAUUACAAAAGAGAUAAUUGCAGCAUGAUUGAUAACAUGCUCAUCACGUGAUUGGGUUCCUAAAAUUCCCAGGUUGUUGCAGGCUUCCUCGUCCUUGUAGAAUAUUUUGUUCAACAAUUCCAGAGAAAAACAAUUAUUCGAUUCGUUUCAGGUAACAGAUGAGUAGCUUAAUUCAAAACUUGUUUUCGUUCUAGAAGUUUAGAUUAUACAAGUGAAUGGUCAAUAUGAUAUACUCGAUAAAAUUACAUGUCUCCUUUUAAAUUUAAAGUUCAUUAUUUUGAAGUGAUUUUUGGAAUUUAAUUUUUCAAUUUAUUUGAUUGAGAGGUGAGGAAUUGGAGAUAAUUAAUUAUGUUUGGGGGUUAACUGGUAUCCUCUAGAAUAUGUUUUUUUUUUUAAUGAGGAAUCCUCUAGAAAAUGUUUAACUUUAUUUUAAAUUUUCAUGUGGUUUUGGCUUCAAUGAGGCAAUGGCAUAUGUGUAAAUAAACAAAAGUUUAAUUCUAACCUAAGGGGGCUGACGGAAGUCAGGGGCAUGGAUGGAAAAGGAGUUUCUUACUUUGCACGUGGGGCUUUAUUGUUUGGGUUAUUCCUCCUAGCUUUUGUCAUUUUCAUUAAAAUUUAAAUCUUUUUAUUAAGUAAAAUUAUUAAAUAGUUUUUUUAUUAAGAAAUUGUUAUUAGGAUUCUAAAAAUCUCAUUUAGCAUUCUAAAUUUUUUAUAAUUAGAAAAAAAAAUACACUUAUAAGAAGUGUAAAUGAGAUUUUUGAAAUGCUAAUAACAAUUCGAUUUUAUUAAUAAAAAGUUUGAAGAAGGCCUUUUCAUUAAAAUUCCCCCAAAAAAAAAGGAGUAUGCUUCUUCCUAAAACGCUUCUUUAGGCCAUAUAAACAAACAGUGAGACGUAAAAACAUGCCCCAACCUCAAAUAUUUCUCUCACAAACAAGGAGAGAAUUUUCAGUGUGACCGGUACACAAGGUGGUACACCACGUAUCACUAAACAAAUAAUAGGAUAUGUGUGCUAAAAAGUUAAUAACUUAAAAAAUAAAAUUUCCCACUAUUCUUAUUAAAACACGUGAUGUAUCACUUAUAUUCCCGUCACAACUAAAAAUUUCCCUACAAACAGAGAGACGUAAAAACAUGCUGCCAUGGGCUUCAGAGAGGAAAAAAGAUCAGGAAAAAAAAUGACCUGAUUGGGUAAGACUUGUACACAAGUUUGUAGUAAAUGUCUACGUACCUUCCUUACAAGUCUGUCUCUUUACUGUGCUUUCCUUCAAUUCACUGUUGUUUCUUCAUCGUCAAAGCUUUCAAUAUUAAGAUCAAACCUUAAUGUUUUGCAGACCUCAUCAGAUGAGUGAUCUCUUAACUCUGUACCAUUGUGGGUGUCGUCAUCAAACUCAUAUGGUAUAGUCUAAUAGUCUGCCUCAUCAGUAUCAUCAUCUCACUCUAAUGGUACACGCUCAUAGUUCACAUUUUUUAUUUCUGAAGGUAAACAAUGUUCCCAUCCUACAAAAUUCACUCCUGUUUUCUUCACCUUACGAACCUUGUCCCCCCUUUUCAGAUUGAGCUUCCUGUUUGAAAGACUUCCCAGCCAAAGAUAAUCUUCAUGGGAAUCAGUUAUGGUGGCAUCCAUUCACCAGAUGGAAAAAUAAGUUCUCUGGGUAACCACAUCGAGGCAUAGAGACCCACUACACUGGGAUGGUCCGAAGAAUAAACGAUGCACACAGCCAACCCUCCUAUAUAAUCAAAACUUGGCGGCACUUCAAAUUUGACAUUUUCUUCCUCUCUCACGACAUAGGUUAACGAUUAAGGAAUAACAUUUCAAGAGCGACAAAUUUCACCAAAUACAUCCCCCACCUUCCAUUUCUACAACACGGCGUGCAAAGUUUGUAUAAGCAAACAAUACGAGAAGGGCAGAGCGAGAGAGAGAGAGAGAGAGAGAGAGAGAGAGAGAGAGAGAGAGAGAGAGAGUAUCAUGCAACAAAACAUAAAAACUCAUCUGGGAGAAUUAUGACUCUUGUGAAUUGGUAGUAUUAUCGAUGCAUAUGUUAUAUGAUCUUCAAACUCGCUAUAGCGUGACUUUUUUUUUUUGUAUCUUUUUCAUCAACUUCAUUUGUUUUUUUUUUUUUUCAAGUAGAGCUGAUAAACUUAAAAUUUAUCCACAACCUAAAAAAUGGAAGAAAAAAAAAGAGGUGGAUGUACAAAAUCCUUGCUAUGCCCUCUAUAUUCAACAGAACAAUAAAUUGAGUUAACGGAUAUAAUUGAAGUACCAUAUUUGAUUGUGUUUGAGAACCAUAAUAAGGAAAAAAAAAAACUACUCUAGAAUGAAGGUAAAACUCGUGACAACAAUGGUGUACAUCUAAAAAAUAGUUCAAGCAGAUUAAGAUGUUAGCGCAUAGACAAAUAUCUCGUUUAUUGAACAAACGAUGAGGAUAACAAUGCCGUUUUCUCUCUUUCGAAAUUCAUAAACAACAAAAUUGAGAUUUGUUACACAAAAAUUACCAUAAAUUUUGACAGAAUUGGCGGUUGAAAUAUAAGUCCAGCAUCCAAAUCGAAAACAAUCAUAGGAGCUUAGAAAAUACCACAUCAACCUUUAGCAAGUAGUCUCAUAAGAAAUCCCAAUCAAGAUAAAACCAUUCAACAGUUUAUUAGACUUCUCCUUUCAUAUAAGAGCAUGGUUCGGAGGAUAAUUUAAUUGACCUCAUAACAUCUUUCUACAAAGAAAAAAUGAAAAAGAAAAUAGGGCCUCGACACCUGUGGCAAAACCCGACAUGGAUUAGAGUACUUUUCUGCCU